GUGUAAGUACAAGCCAAAUAUAAAAUGGUGAAACCGCGAAAAGCUCAUUAAAUCGGCUUUGGUUCCUUAGACAGUAUGCAGAUAGGAGCUCUUUUUGAAAGAGAAGAGCAAAAGUCUGAUUUGGAUAACUGUGGUAAUUCUAGAGCUAAUACAUGAAAAUGAAUCGGUGUGUAAUUUGUGUGUUAUUGCAGGCAAAUUUCGCACGCUUUUAUUAGAGAAAAAAGCCAAUUUAGUUUUUUUGAAACGAUGCGCUAGUUGAGUUGCGGUUGUCGGGGAGAUGAGUUGGCUUAAUUGCCUUUGAAUUUUCUCGGCACUGUUGCUUGUGCUGUGCGUCGACAAAAAAGAAUCAAUUAAAAAUGGUGUUGAAUCUGAAUAACUUAAACGGAUUUCGUUCGAAAGAAUUUGCGAUAGGAGCUGUCUCGGCAGUUGCGAUGUGCAUAUUUGACUAGAAUGGAAUUUAAAGCAGACUGCAUUUAAGCCCGUGCUCGACAUUUAGUUGCUGAUCGCUUUGUUGGCGGUGAGCAGUUAUACGAGUUUCGGUGUUUGCAGUGUGUCUUUCAAUUGUCCGCCUUAUCAACUUUCGAUGGUAGGUUACAUGCCUACCAUGGUUGUAACGGGUAACGGGGAAUCAGGGUUCGAUUCCGGAGAGGGAGCCUUAGAAACGGCUACCACAUCUAAGGAAGGCAGCAGGCACACAAAUUACCCACUCCCGGCACGGGGAGGUAGUGACGAUAAAUAACGAUCCGGAACUCUAAUGAGUUUCCGAAAUCGGAAUGAGUACAAUUUAAAUCCUUUAACGAGGAACUAAUGGAGGGCAAGUCUGGUGCCAGCAGCCGCGGUAAUUCCAGCUCCAUUAGCAUAUAUUAAAGUUGUUGCGUUUAAAAAGCUCGUAGUCGAAUCUAUAUCUUACGCUGUCGAUCGCUUGUGAUUUGAUUCGCGAGUUUGAUGGACAUUUUGUGUAAGAUAUCUCUGACGGCGGAUGUUCGUUGUUCGCUGCGCGAUUCGCGCUGUGAAUAUUUCGAUAAUUCGAUACGAUUAGCUUUUGCUUAUUUGGUUUUGAAGUAGUUCGAUGCGAUUAGCAAGCGGUCGUAAAGACGGACUAGUGAACUGACGGGGGCGCCGUACAUCGUGCGCGUUUGUCAUCAAGGUUCCUAGUGUGUUGACUGCGCGCGUUGCGUUGCAAAAUUGCUUUAGAACAAAGUCGAAAGUUUUUAUCGUAUUCUGAUUGGCGUUCGCGCUGGUGUAUGCGCGCAGUUUUCUAGCUUGAAGCUGUGCGUGCAGCAUGUUCGCUCAAUUGGGUCGUCAAUAUUACUUUGAAUAAAUUAGAGUGCUUAAAGCAGGCAUAUUGAACUGCCUUGAAUAUGAACAGCAUGGAAUAAUAGAAUAUGAUCUCGAUACCGUUUCUUUUCAAACGCACAUUGACGCUGUUGUUGGUGGUCGGUCAAACGAUUGCUAAAUUCGGUGUUUGUGCGCGUUUCUAAUUGGCUUAAAGAAGCAAACCUCUGGAGUUUCGAUUGAGAAAUGAAGGGUUUGUUUCGACGGUAU
rnacentral:rRNA from 1 species